AUGACGUUACCUGAAAAAGAAGCACCGGCUAACUCCGUGCCAGCAGCCGCGGUAAUACGGGGGGUGCAAGCGUUAAUCGGAAUUACUGGGCGUAAAGAGCACGUAGGUGGACUAUUAAGUUAGAUGUGAAAUACCUGAGCUUAACUUAGGAACUGCAUUUAAAACUAAUAAUCUAGAGUUUCGUAGAGGGAGGUAGAAUUCCAGGUGUAGCGGUGAAAUGCGUAGAUAUCUGGAGGAAUACCUGUGGCGAAAGCGACCUCCUAGACGAUAACUGACGCUGAGGUGCGAAAGCGUGGGUAGCAAACAGGAUUAGAUACCCUGGUAGUCCACGCUGUAAACGAUGUCAACUUGGAGGUUGUUUCAUUGAGAGAUGGCUUCCGAAGCUAACGCAUUAAGUUGACCGCCUGGGAAGUACGGUCGCAAGGCUAAAACUCAAAUGAAUUGACGGGGGCCCGCACAAGCGGUGGAGCAUGUGGUUUAAUUCGAUGCAACGCGAAAAACCUUACCUGGUCUUGACAUCCAUAGAAUUUCUUAGAAAUAAGAAAGUGCCCUUGGGAACUAUGAGACAGGUGCUGCAUGGCUGUCGUCAGCUCGUGUUGUGAAAUGUUGGGUUAAGUCCCGCAACGAGCGCAACCCUUAUCCUUUUUUGCCAUCGGUUCGGCCGGGAACUCAAAGGAGACUGCCAGUUAUAAAUUGGAGGAAGGUGGGGACGACGUCAAGUCAUCAUGGCCCUUACGACCAGGGCUACACACGUGCUACAAUGGUACAUACAAAGAGAAGCAACUCUGUAAAGACAAGCAAAUCUCAUAAAGUGUAUCUUAGUCCGGACUGGAGUCUGCAACUCGACUCCACGAAGUCGGAAUCGCUAGUAAUCGUGAAUCAGAAUGUCACGGUGAAUACGUUCCCGGGCCUUGUACACUCCGCCCGUCACACCAUGGAAGUGAAUUGCAAAAGAAGCAAGUAGUUUAACUACGGAGAACGCUUACCACUUUGUGGUUCAUAACU
rnacentral:rRNA from 2 species